CGCAUCGGUCCGGAGUUGAUGGGUUAUCGAAUCUAUAAACUGCCUUCGUGCAACACCCCGGUCUCCUUGUGAAACCAAAACCGUCCAAGUUGGACAAACCCUCAACCAUCUCGCAUUCUCAUUAAGAAUGCAAAACCCUUCCCACCGACACCAACUUGACCGAUCU
rnacentral:sRNA from 1 species